UACAGAGGGUGCAAGCGUUAAUCGGAAUUACUGGGCGUAAAGCGUGCGUAGACGGUUACGUAAGUCAGAUGUGAAAGCCCCGGGCUCAACCUGGGAAUGGCAUUUGAGACUGCGUAGCUAGGGUGCGGAAGAGGGAAGCGGAAUUUCCGGUGUAGCGGUGAAAUGCGUAGAUAUCGGAAGGAACACCAGUGGCGAAGGCGACUUCCUGGCCUGUUCUUGACGCUGAGGCGCGAAAGCUAGGGUAGCAAACGGG
rnacentral:rRNA from 1 species